AGCAGCUCCAGCUCUGCUCUGGCCCUGGUACAAGGCAGUGGCCUUUAUCAAGUGGCUCCCACCCCAAAAAACAGGCACUGUGUCAUAACCCUACUUUCACCAGCUGAGCAUUACUGAACUUAGACCGGUGUGAACUCAAGGAUAACUGAAAGUGGAACCUUGCUGCUUGGGCUCUCAAAAACAAAGGUUACUGCAUGUAUAAUAUCCAACUGCACGCUGCAUUUCUAGGUACAGCUGCUUCAGGAGUCUUUAAAACACGAGGUGUCUAUGUACAGACCUUGGGAACCAAAUGAACAGUGCUACACAGAGCAUGAUGUUACGCUUCUAACAGUUUAAAUCCUACAGAAAUGAAAACAAACUACAAAGCUUUACCGAAGUCUAUUUCCAGACUGAACUCAGCUGAUGGAAUAAACAGCUUCCACUGCUCUCAUGUGUCCAAGUCACACAGGUUAAUUUUGGUGUUGGCUCUGAAGCUCAACAACCAUUUCUGAAGCUACUGAGUUUUGCUUCUCAGGGCCAAGGAGUUUGGUUGCUGGCUCUCAGAGCACAGAAAGCCUUGGUUACAGCUUCUCCACACCGCUCUGAGGUGGCACAAAUUCACACUGACCAUUCAGCCAUUUCUCAUUAUGUAUACACGCAGGCAUACUUAGCACCCAUACAAGACAGCACACUGGAGGAGGACACACAGCAAUUGCAAGGCAAGUUCUUCCAUCCUCCUUGUCAGAAGGGUUGGAUAAUACUAAGUUUGAUUGAUUGCCUCUUGCAACAGAUGAGAUACCAAAGAGCACCGUCACAUCCGAGUGGGGAGUAGCACUAUCACAGAUCCUCCAAGCUACAGACAGGAAGAGCUCAGGACAGAUGAGGCCAAAGCCACACAGAAUGAGGGAUCUGCGUGCAUACAAUGCUGUUGUUCACACAGGUGAAAGUGUCCUUUCUUUCCCAGUAUCAGGAAGGCUUUAUCCCAAGACAGACAAGACAAGGUAGACAUCCAUCCCCUACAGGGAGCUGCUGGAAUCAGCUUUAAUCACUCACGUCAGCUGCAGGGUUGUUGCAAACAGACACAGCAGCCUCUAAUUUUCUGUCUUUGUUCUACCACCCAAGAAAUUCUGAAGAGGGGCACAACUGCCACUGAUUACACCCUGCUUGUGGAAGCCAACAGAAUCAGAAGACAAUGCCACCCUGCAAUGCACACUGUGGUUUGGAAAGGUUAAAACACGUGACUCCAGAUGUCCCCAGCAACCCAGAGCUGUCACUCAAUCAUCGUGCACUGAAUUCCACCAUACAGGAUGAAAAGCCCGCACAGGUAUUUGGUAACACCUCUGAAUACUAGAAGCAAAUGUAUUCCAAAAACGUUUCCUCAUUCCCCUUAGAGCUCCCCAGCAUGAAACCCAGACAUGACAUAGCACUCAGCCUGAUGAACUCCCAGCACUGCUGACCUGCUCACCCUGUGGCGUUGGCAGCAAGCAGCUGCUGCACACAGCUUGCACAACAGGUAGGAAGCACCAGACCUGGCAAGACCUUGACACCGAAGUCAAGAUUGACGCUUUGCUUACUGAAACACCACAGCGGGGGAGGAACACAAAGGAACGCAACCCAGCACUGGCCAGACAGAUGUUUUGAGAACGUGGCUUCACAAACACCACACCGACAUCUCAGCCAGCCCUUCUUCACACAGAGGGAGCUGCACACUCAUCACCCCACUGAGCUGUCAUGAGCACUGAAAUGCCAUGGAAUCUCUCAGAAGCACGCAGUCCCUACAAGCUCUGAAACCGUGCUUCUAAUCCCGUGACUUUUUAAAUAAACCAAAUGAAGAAUGCAAGUCUUUUUCUACUACAAAAUUCACCUGACCCGCUGAUGGAACCCAGGCAUACCAGGGAAACAGGGUGUGGGGCUGUGGUAAGGAUAUAUACAUUACAGGCAAGGCACUGCUAGAAUGACAAAUGGACACCUGCACCUGUAACAGAUGGACUAUAAAGAAGGUGCCAGCCCUACCAGUCUUAACUUGUGGUUUAACAUUGAUCAAAAUAUACUACAGGGAAAGCAAAUAUCUGUCAAUCUCACUGCACUCUUCCCAUCUCUUAUCCGGCAGAGUUGGCCCUGUCAGGAAGUGACACUUUAAUAUCACGAGUUAAUCUUAAACUACAGCCUUUCCUUUUCAAUCUGCUUUCGAGAGCCCAAAAGCUGUGGGAAGAACUCCUUCUUCCCCCAGCAACUCACAGCCUGGCCUCGCACACUGCAGGCAGCCUCCGGCUCCAAAAUCUGCUCAUGCACAGGAUGAACUCAGGUGAUUUAAUGAGCACAGAGUGCUCGCAGUCAGGCUGCCAUGUGCCGGGAGCACAAAGGCACAGCUACGCAAGCCAGCACUGGGAGAAAGAAUAAGCUCUAAGGACAUAAGUUGGUUGAGCGUCAUCUGGAGCAGCCAUGCCAUCCAAUGCACGCAGCUCAACACCACAGCCACUCCGGUUACAGCAGAGGGCACAGCAGCUUUGUCAUCCCAAACCGGAGUGCUGGCAAAACCAACAUAAAGAACCCUAUAAACACUCCA